rnacentral:rRNA from 1 species
UCCGUAGGCGGAUAGAUAAGUCAGAGGUGAAAUCCUGCAGCUCAACUGUAGAAUUGCCUUUGAAACUGUUCAUCUUGAGUUAUUGUGAAGUGGUUAGAAUAUGUAGUGUAGCGGUGAAAUGCUUAGAGAUUACAUGGAAUACCGAUUGCGAAGGCAGAUCACUAACAAUAUACUGACGCUGAUGGACGAAAGCGUGGGGAGCGAACAGGAUUAGAUACCCUGGUAGUCC